rfam:Archaeon GW2011_AR15 chromosome.
GGGGUUGUGGUCUAGCUUGGUAUGAUUCGCGGUUCGGGACCGCGAGGUCGGGGGUUCGAAUCCUCCCAACCCCA